CCUACGGGCGGCAGCAGUGAGGAAUAUUGGUCAAUGGGCGAGAGCCUGAACCAGCCAAGUCGCGUGAGGGAGUACUGCCCUAUGGGUUGUAAACCUCUUUUGUCGGGGAGCAAAAGCCGGACGUGUCCGGCUGUGAGAGUACCCGAAGAAGAAGCAUCGGCUAACUCCGUGCCAGCAGCCGCGGUAAUACGGAGGAUGCGAGCGUUAUCCGGAUUUAUUGGUUUUAAGGGGUGCGCAGGCGGUCUGUUAAGUCAGCGGUAAAAGCCCGGGGCUCAACCCCGACCCGCCGUUGAAACUGGCAGUCUAGAGUUGGAGAGAGGUAUGCGGAAUGCGCGGUGUAGCGGUGAAAUGCAUAGAUAUCGCGCAGAACUCCGAUUGCGAAGGCAGCAUGCCGGCUCCACACUGACGCUGAGGCACGAAAGCGUGGGUAGCGAACAGGAUUAGAUACCCCGGUAGUC
rnacentral:rRNA from 1 species